CACGUCUAUAGAUGGCUGGGUGAUCCACAAACAUCCCCAAGCUAAUGACACCUCCUAGGGAUGAAUUUUAGGAACAGCGGCAAAGAAUUCCUUAUAUUUAAAAAGGUUUAUCAUGACUUUGAGUUUUGACUCCCUUGUCAACUGAGAUGGAUUGCAAUUCCCGGGGAGAGAAAGUAUAAGCUGAAUAACUGGAAAUCCUUGCCUGCCUUCCUGUGGCCACGGAGAGGUGUUAGAACACGAAAGUGAUGACUGCUCAGGUGCUUGUAACUUCUGUAACAGCCCAGGUGGGCAGCUGAGUGGUUUCUGGUUUACAGAUGGGACAGGCCUGGACACCAGGCCUGGACAAGGUCCCGCUAACUGUUGGGGAGCGGAGUUGAACCCAUCCCUCUCCAGCGCUGAAGUCCCCCACUCUCAUGCAGCCUUGACGACAGUGGAUGAAGGGGCCAUGGGUACUGAGUGUGGGGAGGGCUUCCGGUUCGGGUCAAACAUCUAAAGCAACGUCCCCUGCCUCUCACCUG
ensembl:lncRNA